UAGCCGUAUAUUUAAGUUGCUGCAGUUAAAAAGCUCGUAGUUGGAUUUCGGGUGGGGCACGUCGGUCCGCCGUUUCGGUGUGCACUGGCGGGGCCCACCUUGUUGCCGGGGACGGGCUCCUGGGAUUCAUUUCCUGGGACUCGGAGUCGGCGAGGUUACUUUGAGUAAAUUAGAGUGUUCAAAGCAGGCCUACGCUCUGAAUACAUUAGCAUGGAAUAACACGAUAGGACUCUGGCCUAUCCUGUUGGUCUGUAGGACCGGAGUAAUGAUUAAGAGGGACAGUCGGGGGCAUUCGUAUUUCAUUGUCAGAGGUGAAAUUCAUGGAUUUAUGAAAGACGAACUACUGCGAAAGCAUUUGCCAAGGAUGUUUUCAUUAAUCAAGAACGAAAGUUGGGGGCCUCGAAGACGAUUAGAUACCGUCCUAGUCUUUACCAUAAACGAUGCCGCUAGGGAUCGGCGGGUGUUCUUUUGAUGACCCCGCCGGCACCUUAUGAGAAAUCAAAGUUUUUGGGUUCCGGGGGGAGUAUGGUCGCAAGGCUGGAACUUAAAG
rnacentral:rRNA from 1 species